rnacentral:lncRNA from 1 species
CUGGGCAUUCGAGGUCCCAAUCGGGUUUCGGUUUAGUCCAAUCGGGUUUCAGUUUUUCGGGUUUAUCAAAAUCAGUCCCAUUCGGAUUAUAUGAAAAUUCGGUUCGGGACCGGUUCGGGUUCUAUCGGGUUCGGGUCGGGUUUAGUAAAUCUUCAAAGAACCGGUAAAACCCGAUGUACUUUCAGAUUCGGGUCCUAAUCGGUUCUUCGGUUUAAAUGUACCUGAUUUAUAUCUACU